AAAGCAACAGCCUCCGUCUCAUUAACAAUCAAUGACGUCAUACCAUUCCAUCCGACAGCUGACAGGUACAUGUUAUAAUUUUGUUCAAUUUCUCCUCUUGACAUGAACACAAAGCGUCGGAAAUUAUAAAAGACAUACUCCUAAUCCACGUUAAUCCCAUUUGACAGUAAACACGGAAGGUCUGCUUUGAAAGAUUGUUCAAAUAUUAGUCAUGUUGAACACACACAGUUUUAGACAAAAAUUAAUUUGUCGCACUCCCUCGUAGCUGCUAUUUUAUGUCAUCUCUACCCAAACAUUGUAAAGGAGAAAAUACUGCAGUGGGUGCAAAUGGGAUGGUGUUAGUAGAAUCUUAAAAAACAUUAGAUCUUGCGGCUGAUUUUCAAAAUAUUAAAAUGUAACGCAAAAAGAUUCUGAACCAAGUGAAGGAGCAUGAAGUUGCCAACACAAACACUUCUCAAAACAGUUCUACCCUAUCACGUGGUUGUCUCAUUAAUCAAUCUCUCGCUGACUCGAUAAUUCCUAAUAUUUUCGUAAUAAGUCCUCGAAAUACCUUCCCAACAUGGUUCUACAAACAGAACGAAGUUUUAAUUCUUUAACCCAUACUGUAAUAAGAUAUAAGUUUCUUUUACAAUAAACAAUAAAAAUCUCAUUUCCCAUAUGCUUUGCAGCCGAAACAUAGCUAGCAUAUUAGACUUUGGAAGGAGUUUCUUUCUGCACGCGAGGCCGCUUCAAAAGGUUUACAAAGUUUAAUUACCAUUACAAGUAACAACUCGACAAUCUUUUUUCCUGUUGGAUCGACUUUGUUUUGAAUUUUGAAGUGUACUGAGUGAAAGUGUUCAACAAGCGUCUGCUUUGAUUGGAUACCACUAUGAAGAAUUUGUGUAUACUUUUAUUUUUGGUUGUUUCGUGUUUGAUGGUGAUUCAUGGAACACGAAAAACUGGUCGGUGUUGGAUUGCGAAGAGGUCAUCAGGAUAUUCUGUCGUUUGCGAUUCAUCACGUUUUCCAAGAUCGAAAGAUGCUGGGUAUUUGUUCAGUGAAGACGAUUGACAAAGAUGAAAUCGACGAAAAGUUACACACUAAGGAAUAACUUCCGACUAUAUCAAACACACUUAUAUAUUUAUACAUUUAUAUUUAUUCAAGUCACUUGUGUAUUAAUUUUUGUACUUUGUAUUACAUUUUUCUUAUUUUCAUUCAUCAAAUAACUCAAUUUUUAACGCUUUA